rnacentral:rRNA from 1 species
GAUGAACGCUGGCGGCGUGCCUAAUACAUGCAAGUCGAGCGAACGGACGAGAAGCUUGCUUCUCUGAUGUUAGCGGCGGACGGGUGAGUAACACGUGGAUAACCUACCUAUAAGACUGGGAUAACUUCGGGAAACCGUAGCUAAUACCGGAUAAUAUUUUGAACCGCAUGGUUCAAAAGUGAAAGACGGUCUUGCUGUCACUUAUAGAUGGAUCCGCGCUGCAUUAGCUAGUUGGUAAGGUAACGGCUUACCAAGGCAACGAUGCAUAGCCGACCUGAGAGGGUGAUCGGCCACACUGGAACUGAGACACGGUCCAGACUCCUACGGGAGGCAGCAGUAGGGAAUCUUCCGCAAUGGGCGAAAGCCUGACGGAGCAACGCCGCGUGAGUGAUGAAGGUCUUCGGAUCGUAAAACUCUGUUAUUAGGGAAGAACAUAUGUGUAAGUAACUGUGCACAUCUUGACGGUACCUAAUCAGAAAGCCACGGCUAACUACGUGCCAGCAGCCGCGGUAAUACGUAGGUGGCAAGCGUUAUCCGGAAUUAUUGGGCGUAAAGCGCGCGUAGGCGGUUUUUUAAGUCUGAUGUGAAAGCCCACGGCUCAACCGUGGAGGGUCAUUGGAAACUGGAAAACUUGAGUGCAGAAGAGGAAAGUGGAAUUCCAUGUGUAGCGGUGAAAUGCGCAGAGAUAUGGAGGAACACCAGUGGCGAAGGCGACUUUCUGGUCUGUAACUGACGCUGAUGUGCGAAAGCGUGGGGAUCAAACAGGAUUAGAUACCCUGGUAGUCCACGCCGUAAACGAUGAGUGCUAAGUGUUAGGGGGUUUCCGCCCCUUAGUGCUGCAGCUAACGCAUUAAGCACUCCGCCUGGGGAGUACGACCGCAAGGUUGAAACUCAAAGGACUUGACGGGGACCCGCACAAGCGGUGGAGCAUGUGGUUUAAUUCGAAGCAACGCGAAGAACCUUACCAAAUCUUGACAUCCUUUGACAACUCUAGAGAUAGAGCCUUCCCCUUCGGGGGACAAAGUGACAGGUGGUGCAUGGUUGUCGUCAGCUCGUGUCGUGAGAUGUUGGGUUAAGUCCCGCAACGAGCGCAACCCUUAAGCUUAGUUGCCAUCAUUAAGUUGGGCACUCUAAGUUGACUGCCGGUGACAAACCGGAGGAAGGUGGGGAUGACGUCAAAUCAUCAUGCCCCUUAUGAUUUGGGCUACACACGUGCUACAAUGGACAAUACAAAGGGCAGCGAAACCGCGAGGUCAAGCAAAUCCCAUAAAGUUGUUCUCAGUUCGGAUUGUAGUCUGCAACUCGACUACAUGAAGCUGGAAUCGCUAGUAAUCGUAGAUCAGCAUGCUACGGUGAAUACGUUCCCGGGUCU